AAGACAAAAAGUCUCCAAAGUGUUGUGGAAGUCCACACGGGCUCCAGCUCUUCAAACGCCAUUUUUGAUCGUCACCUUGCCUCCAAGUGUGUGACUUAAUACACUGCUAGCUCCAUGACCUGAUUCAACCUUGACAGCAAGAUGGCUGGGAGAGGGGGCGUGCUCUUCCACGUGAGGCUCGUCCUACUGCAGCACCUCCAGGAUGAAGAGCAGCUAGAUUAUGCCGAGGGCCAAUAGAAUGAGCUGAGGGCCAAAAAUGCCCCCCAGGCCGCACUCUGGACACCCCUAGGUGAAACAUUUCCUUUGCUGGAUUGCCUCCCCUCUGCCUCCUUCCCGUCCUCUAACAGCCGUGAGAAAUCAUCCAUGGAAUUAUUCAAAGAGCGAUCCAGUGGUAAAAGAACGGAGCGACAAAACCUAACAAGCUUGCAUCCUUUCAGCAAGGCUCGUUAGCAGGAAGUGAGCAGCGGCACAACACAAAUGAAAGCUUUUUAGCAUCAGCAGUGUGUCAUCAUUGACUUAUUUGGCUGACUCGGUCUCCUUCCGUGCACCCUCUCGUCUUCAUGUCCUCGCGUCUCCUCCGGGAAGUGUUCCGGUCAAUGCUUCUAUUGAGCGCCGGCACAGUUGGACGUCUCUGACCCGUCAAGAGUUGUCUUGGAGAGGGACGGCGUCUUGUUCUCCUGCCGUGCUGCUUUGACACAGGCCUGUUAGCACGUCCUCUAGCCGGUAUGUGGCCGGCCUGUGGCGAAGGACAUGAGACAUUUUAGCAGCGGUAUGUCAUUAUACAUAUCAACAUUGUUACCUGAAUAUAUGACAAUGGGUAUUUUACUGCCUUUUUUAGAGCUUGUUCUUUUGGUGUUUAGUCCAGCAGAGACCAGAACCCUCCAAGAACAUGAAAUGCCCGUCAGAGGAUGCUGCAAACAUCUCAAUUAGGAGCUAUAAGAAGAUUAGCUUGUGGUAGCACUUUUUGGCACCCUUCAGUAGAGUAACAGGCAAAGUGGAGUGUGUUGAUUUGGUACCCCACUACUGAGGGUGGUACCUUCUUGGAAGUAGUGCUGCACACUUAUUUUGGUACCCCCACAUCACUGGUGACAAUAUAAGAAUUAAAAUACAGUACCAAAGUGUACUGCUUGGUGGAAUGACCUCUUCAGAGUUGAAAUCCACAGGAACAUCUUUCACAGCGCCUCCAAGGCAACAUGGCGGUGAGCACAGUGCUGCCUUCACUGACCUGCAGGCUCCAGCGGCUGCGGUUGGACAACAUCUCAACAAAGUGUGAAUGGAAAGUACACCGAGCGGAGCACAGACGGCCCCAUUGGGCCCUCAGGGAGUUUUAUUACCUCUUAAAAAUGUACACUCGGUGGCUGCGGGCCGUGUUGGCGGCCUGCUUCAGCAGCACAUUCAUCAUCUUAACCUCAACCCCACCCCACCCCUUCUCCCCUUAACGCUGAGUCUUUGGAGGGCCUACAGAAGCUGGGUGGCCUCUGGUGGAGAGCCAGGCCGCUCACUGACGCCAGCUGAGGAUGCCAGCCGCUAAAGUGUACCAA